rnacentral:lncRNA from 1 species
UGUCCUUCUAGAUUUUGGACUUACAUGAGAUGAUAAAACAUCAGUUGAAGAAGUUCAUUUGGGUAAAGAGAUGGAUAAUAUUUGGAUAUACAUGAACUCUUGGACCAUCAUCAAUAGCUUUGUUCUAUAUUAAGGCAUAAGGACAGAUGCUGAUACCAUCUCCUUUACAAGGUCAUUUUGUUACUGUCAGUGGUCAGCAUAUCUACUGCGUUGUUGUGAACCAGGAUGACGUAUUGUUAAGGCAAUUAUCCGUGUUGAAGAGAAACACGUCGCUGCUGCUUGCUUGAUGUGGCUGCAACAACAAAGCUGUUUUGACUACUCUAGGUAAAAAAUGGGGUUUGAACACUACAAAAUCAGGCACCUACAGAAUCACAGUAGGAUCUGAGUAGGUGAAUAUUGUCAUAAAAUGCUGGCCAAAUAUCUCAUUAUUUACACCUAAUAUUCAAGAAAGACAGUCAUGAGAAACUUUAUGACAUACUCAGACAGAACUGAAUCUAUUGGCAGAAUAUAUUCCCAACUAAUCAUCUCUCAUGGGAUACAACAUUGUGUUUUCAAAAUACCUUAACUGCAUUCACCUCUCGUCAUUCAGUAACAACAUUUGGGGUGGCUGAACCAACACCAGCUCCAAGGCCUUAGAUGUCCUGGAAUAUUGUGUGUUACGUGAAUGAUAGAUUAUUGUUCUGGAUAUUUAGUAACAUUAUGAAAAGGUGUUAUUAACCCAGCUAAGGACACCAGAAUCACUUUCAUGGGAAACUAGCAGAACAUUGCAAUUGGCCAAGUACCAAACUUAACUGUUUAUAAUUCUAAGAUAUGCAGAGAAAGAAUACAAGAAAAAUAAUUAGCAACCCAGCCAGUGAUUCCAAGUCUUUACUAAAGAUUAGUAAAAGAACUUUGGUGGAUGUACAAUUUGACUUAAGUACUGAAAGGUGAGUAGAAAUU